GGUGAGUAACACGCUGGUGUAACCUGGCCCUGAUGAUUGGGACAAUUCCGAGGAAACUCGGGCUAAUACCGAAUGUUGCCCUCCGGCCUCAAGGCCGCUUGGGGGAAAAGUGAACGCUUCGUGCCAUCCGCAUCUGUGGACUGGGUCCUGCGGCCCAUUAAGCUUGUUGGUGACGGUAACGGGCUCACCAAGGGCGACUCAUGGGUAGCUGGUCUGAGAGGACGAUCAGCCGCACUGGGACUGAGCCAGGACUCAAAAUCUAUAGGGAGGCAGAGUGGGGAAUCUUGCGCUGCGCGAAAGCGUGACGCAUGCAACGCCGCGUGGAGGGAAGAAGGCCUUCGGGUUGCUAAACCCCUUUCAGUUAGGGACGAAGCUCCGCCGGUGAAUAGCCGGCUGGAGUGACGGUACCUUCAGAACGAAGCCCCGGCUAACUACGUGCCAGCCGCCGCGG
rnacentral:rRNA from 1 species